rnacentral:tRNA from 1 species
GCGGAUGUAGCUCAGUUGGUAGAGUGCCAGAUUGUGGCUCUGGUUGUCGCGGGUUCGAGCCCCGUCAUUCGCC